rnacentral:rRNA from 1 species
UACGUAGGGAGCAAGCGUUGUUCGGAUUUACUGGGCGUAAAGGGCGCGUAGGCGGCAAUUCAAGUCACUUGUGAAAUCUCUGGGCUUAACUCGGAACGGUCAAGUGAUACUGCUUUGCUAGAGUGCGGAAGGGGCAAUCGGAAUUCUCGGUGUAGCGGUGAAAUGCGUAGAUAUCGAGAGGAACACCUGAGGUGAAGACGGGUUGCUGGGCCGACACUGACGCUGACAGCGCGAAAGCCAGGGGAGCAAACGGG